AACAAGAAAGUAAAAAAUCGUAGAAAAAUUUUCCGUCUUGAUCGCUAGUGUGUUCUUGCCUCCUCGAUCUCCUUAGCAUUCUUAUGUCUAAAUUGUGUCAAAAGUAUAUCCCCCGUCCUCAAAAUAGCAUUUUUACAUGUAUAUAUACCAAGUAGGGUCGGGUCCAAACAAUUCCACCUUUUCCUACUCAAAAAAAGGACACUUUCAGACAAGACAUGCGUGGCCGCAGAACAACCGCAGAUUUUGACCAGUGUUCUACUCGAACUGGUCCCGCACUUGCCAUGCACUUUUCACUCUGUUCUGUGUGAAAUAUGGAAAAACAUAAAACAUGAAAGUUGUAGCUCUUUGAGUUAGCUUUCCAGCUAUAUAUUAUGGAGCCCAAAUGGAGUUCUUAUAGAAAAAUUGUAUGCAUUUUACUAGACGGUGUGUAAUAUACCUACUCGAUUCUUCGUUCGUUCUUCUAUCAGCCAUUGAUCUCUGAAUGGAUUGAUUCUUUGGCCUUUUACUUGUAGAAUAGCUUUCUAAACCAUUUUAAAUAAUAUGAGACCACCAAGGCCCAAGCUUCAAAUCUCC
rnacentral:lncRNA from 1 species